rnacentral:rRNA from 1 species
AGUGAACGCUGGCGGUAGGCCUAACACAUGCAAGUCGAACGGCAGCACAGUAAGAGCUUGCUCUUACGGGUGGCGAGUGGCGGACGGGUGAGGAAUACAUCGGAAUCUACUUUUUCGUGGGGGAUAACGUAGGGAAACUUACGCUAAUACCGCAUACGACCUACGGGUGAAAGCAGGGGAUCUUCGGACCUUGCGCGAUUGAAUGAGCCGAUGUCGGAUUAGCUAGUUGGCGGGGUAAAGGCCCACCAAGGCGACGAUCCGUAGCUGGUCUGAGAGGAUGGAACCCCACACGGGACGAGAGACAGGGCCAAGACUCCUCCGGGGGGAGGCGGGGGGAAAUAUUGAACAAGGGGGGAAGGCGUGACCCGCCCUUCCCGGGUGGGUAAAGAGGGCUUUGGGUUUGUAAGCCCUUUUUUUGGGGAAAAAAAAGCAGCAGGUUAACCCCCCGCUGUUCGGACGGUACCAAAAGAAAAAGCCCCGCCUACCUUCGUC